rnacentral:tRNA from 1 species
UCCUGUGUGGUGUAAACGGUUAACAUGUUCAGCUGCUAACCGAAAAGUUGUCGGUUCAAGUCCACUCAGAGGUG